AGCAAAUACACACCUUAUAAACCCUCCAUUCUUCAUUAUAUAGGUGAGACCCCAACAACGGUCACUUUCCUCGGAUUCGUGGUGGGAGCCCGUGGCGCAAUGCCACCGCAGACACAACACUUCUGCAAGCAGGUAGGUCUUGGUAAUGGCCAAUUAGAUCUAAUGUCGGUACGGGCCAUAGAAGGAAGCCUAAAAAUCUUCCGAUUAUUUAUGGCCCUGUAAUAUUAACUCGGGUACGCACCCACGAAGUAUACGCAAGUGGUACUUCGGUAAUGCGAAAAGACACGGUGCUAUCGGACCUGACCUUUAUGGUAAGGACCCGCGGCACCAAGUCAAACAUAGCCAAAUGCCUCGUCAUCUAAUUAGUGACGCGCAUGAAUGGAUUAACGAGAUUCCCGCUGUCCCUAUCUACUAUCUAGCGAAACCACAG
rnacentral:ncRNA from 1 species